ACUUUCAUAGCUCAGUUGGUUAGAGUACCCGUUUAGUAAGCAGGAGUUGGUUAGAUUACCCGUUUAGUAAGCAGGAGUCAUGAGUUCAACUCUCAUUUAAAGCA
rnacentral:tRNA from 1 species